GCCAGCAGCCAUAUCAACCUGUAACACACAACCAGCGACACACUGAAGCUAAACAGGUGUGAGCCUGGUCAGUACCUGGAUGAGAGACCUCCUGGGAACAACGAAGGUUGCUGCUGGAA
rnacentral:rRNA from 1 species